UUAAUACUCCCUCCGUCCGGAAAUACUCGUCGGAGGAAUUGAUGUAUCUAGAUGUAUUUUAGUUCUAGAUACAUUCAUUUUUCUGCAUUUUCCCGACAAGUAUUUUCGGACGGAGGGAGUAUCUU
rfam:Triticum aestivum genome assembly, contig: Triticum_aestivum_CS42_TGACv1_scaffold_220870_3B